CAGCAGUGAGGAAUAUUGGUCAAUGGGCGAGAGCCUGAACCAGCCAAGUAGCGUGAAGGAUGAAGGUCCUAUGGAUUGUAAACUUCUUUUAUACGGGAAUAAAGUGGUCCACGUGUGGACUUUUGCAUGUACCGUAUGAAUAAGCAUCGGCUAACUCCGUGCCAGCAGCCGCGGUAAUACGGAGGAUGCGAGCGUUAUCCGGAUUCAUUGGGUUUAAAGGGUGCGUAGGCUGUGCGUCAAGUCAGGGGUGAAAUUCCGGGGCUCAACUCCGGGGCUGCCCUUGAUACUGUCGCGCUGGAGUGCGGAUGCCGCCGGAGGAAUGAGUGGUGUAGCGGUGAAAUGCUUAGAUAUCACUCAGAACACCGAUUGCGAAGGCAUCUGGCGAAUCCGUAACUGACGCUGAGGCACGAAAGCGUGGGGAUAGAACAGGAUUAGAUACCCUGGUAUUCCACGCCGUAAACGAUGAUGGCUAACCGCCGGCGACACACUGUCGGUGGCCAAGCGAAAGCGAUAAGCCAUCCACCUGGGGAGUACGUCGGCAACGAUGAAACUCAAAGGAAUUGACGGGGGCCCGCACAAGCGGAGGAACAUGUGGUUUAAUUCGAUGAUACGCGAGGAACCUUACCCGGGCUCGAACGGCGCCUGAACCACCCAGAGACGGGUGGGUCUUCGGACAGGUGCCGAGGUGCUGCAUGGUUGUCGUCAGCUCGUGCCGUGAGGUGUCGGCUCAAGUGCCAUAACGAGCGCAACCCCUGCCGCCAGUUGCCAUCAGGUCAUGCUGGGCACUCUGGCGGGACUGCCACCGCAAGGUGUGAGGAGGGGGGGGAUGACGUCAAAUCAGCACGGCCCUUACGUCCGGGGCGACACACGUGUUACAAUGGCGGCCACAGAGGGAAGCUACCCGGCGACGGGAUGCGGAUCUCGAAAAGCCGUCCCAGUUCGGACUGGAGUCUGCAACCCGACUCCACGAAGCUGGAUUCGCUAGUAAUC
rnacentral:rRNA from 1 species